rnacentral:tRNA from 1 species
AAUCCCGAUGGGCUACCAACUUAUAGGUGCAUAAUGAAAGAGAUGACAGAACAAGGUAAAGAGAUUUUUAAUCUCC